CAAGUCGAGCGAACCCUUCGGGGUGAGCGGCGGACGGGUGAGUAACGCGUGGGUAACCUGCCCUGUACACACGGAUAACAUACCGAAAGGUAUGCUAAUACGAGAUAAUAUAUUUUAAUCGCAUGGUUAAGAUAUCAAAGCUCCGGCGGUACAGGAUGGACCCGCGUCUGAUUAGCUAGUUGGUGAGGUAAUGGCUCACCAAGGCGACGAUCAGUAGCCGACCUGAGAGGGUGAUCGGCCACACUGGAACUGAGACACGGUCCAGACUCC
rnacentral:rRNA from 1 species